GACGAACGCUGGCGGCGUGCUUAACACAUGCAAGUCGAACGGAAAGGCCCUGCUUUUUUGGUGUGCUCGAGUGGCGAACGGGUGAGUAACACGUGAGUAACCUGCCCUUCACUUUGGUAUAACUUCAGGAAACUGGGGCUAAUACCGUAUCGGAUCUCCUGCUGCAUGGUGGGGGUUGGAAAGUUUCGGCGGUUGGGGAUGGACUCGCGGGUUAUCAGCUUGUUGGUGGGGUAGUGGCUUACCAAGGCUUUGACGGGUAGCCGGCCUGAGAGGGUGACCGGCGACAUUGGGACUGAGAGACGGAGCAGACUCCUACGGGAGGCAGCAGGGGGGAAUAUGGCACAAUGAGCGGGAGCGUGAUGCAGAAACGUCGCGUGCGGGAUGACGGUCUUUGGGGUGUAAAACGCUUUCGCCUGUGACGAAGCGGGAGUGACGGUAAUGGGUAAAGAAGCACCGGCUAACUACGUG
rnacentral:rRNA from 1 species